rnacentral:rRNA from 1 species
UACGUAGGGGGCAAGCGUUGUCCGGAAUUACUGGGCGUAAAGCGUGCGCAGGCGGUUUUGUAAGUCUGUCGUGAAAGCCCCGGGCUCAACCUGGGAAUUGCGAUGGAGACUGCAAGGCUUGAAUCUGGCAGAGGGGGGUAGAAUUCCACGUGUAGCAGUGAAAUGCGUAGAGAUGUGGAGGAACACCGAUGGCGAAGGCAGCCCCCUGGGUCAAGAUUGACGCUCGAUGCACGAAAGCGUGGGGAGAAACAGG